UUUAACAUGAUGGACUGUAGAAUAGGGCUGCUGUUUCUAACUCUGUGUUGUGAAGGUGUUUUUGGUCAGACUCUGACUGAGUCUGAUCCAGCAGUAAAACAGCCGGGAGAAUCUCACAGGUUGACAUGUACAGCCUCUGGAUUCACAUUCAGCAGCUAUUGGAUGGCCUGGGUCAGACAGGCUCCUGGAAAAGGGCCGGAGUGGGUCUCCACUGUCAGAAAUGACAAUGGCAACAGUUACUAUGCUCAGGCAGUUCAAGGCCGGUUCACCAUCUCCAGAGACGACAGCAGGCAGCAGGUGUCUCUGCAGAUGAACAGUCUGAAGACUGAAGAUUCUGCUGUUUAUUAUUGUGCUCGAGAACCACUGUGA